rnacentral:rRNA from 1 species
CCCUUAGAUGUUCUGGGCUGCACGCGCGCUACACUGAUGCGCUCAACGAGUUUAUGACCUUGCCCGGAAGGGUUGGGUAAUCUUUUCAAAACGCAUCGUGAUGGGGAUAGAUUAUUGCAAUUAUUAAUCUUCAACGAGGAAUUCCUAGUAAGCGCGAGUCAUCAGCUCGCGCUGAUUACGUCCCUGCCCUUUGUACACACCGCCCGUCGCUACUACCGAUUGAAUGGUUUAGUGAGGCCUUCUGACUGGCGCCGCUACUCUGGCAACAGAGCGGCGGAUGCCGGGAAGUUGGUCAAACUUGAUCAUUUAGAGGAAGUAAAAGUCGUAACA